rnacentral:rRNA from 1 species
UCGGGAAUUUUGGGCAAUGGGCGAAAGCCUGACCCAGCAACGCCGCGUGAGGGAUGAAGUAUUUCGGUAUGUAAACCUCGAAAGAAUGGGAAGAAUAAAUGACGGUACCAUUUAUAAGCUCCGGCUAACUACGUGCCAGCAGCCGCGGUAAUACGUAGGGAGCAAGCGUUGUUCGGAUUUACUGGGCGUAAAGGGCGCGUAGGCGGCGCGGUAAGUCACUUGUGAAAUCUCUGAGCUUAACUCAGAACGGCCAAGUGAUACUGCUGUGCUAGAGUGCGGAAGAGGCAACCGGAAUUCUUGGUGUAGCGGUGAAAUGCGUAGAUAUCAAGAGGAACACCAGAGUCGAAGGCGGGUUGCUGGGCCGACACUGACGCUGAUGCGCGAAAGCCAGGGGA